UACGGAAGGUCCAGGCGUUAUCCGGAUUUAUUGGGUUUAAAGGGAGCGCAGGCGGACCUUUAAGUCAGCUGUGAAAUACGGCGGCUCAACCGUCGAACUGCAGUUGAUACUGGAGGUCUUGAGUGCACACAGGGAUACUGGAAUUCAUGGUGUAGCGGUGAAAUGCUCAGAUAUCAUGAAGAACUCCAAUCGCGAAGGCAGGUGUCCGGGGUGCAACUGACGCUGAGGCUCGAAAGUGCGGGUAUCAAACAGG
rnacentral:rRNA from 1 species